AUUGAACGCUGGCGGCAGGCUUAACAUAUGCAAGUCGAGCGGGGUGAUGGUGCUUGCACUAUCACUUAGCGGCGGACGGGUGAGUAAUGCUUAGGAAUCUGCCUAUUAGUGGGGGACAACAUCUCGAAAGGGAUGCUAAUACCGCAUACGUCCUACGGGAGAAAGCAGGGGAUCACUUGUGACCUUGCGCUAAUAGAUGAGCCUAAGUCGGAUUAGCUAGUUGGUGGGGUAAAGGCCUACCAAGGCGACGAUCUGUAGCGGGUCUGAGAGGAUGAUCCGCCAAACUGGGACUGAGACACGGCCCAGACUCCUCCGGGAGGCAGCAGUGGGGAAUAUUGGACAAUGGGGGGAACCCUGAUCCAGCCAUGCCGCGUGUGUGAAGAAGGCCUUAUGGUUGUAAAGCACUUUAAGCGAGGAGGAGGCUCUUUUGGUUAAUACCCAAGAUGAGUGGACGUUACUCGCAGAAUAAGCACCGGCUAACUACGUGCCAGCCGCCGCCGUAA
rnacentral:rRNA from 1 species